AGUGAACGCUGGCGGUAUGCCUAACACAUGCAAGUCGAACGGCAGCACAGUAAUAGCUUGCUCUUACGGGUGGCGAGUGGCGGACGGGUCAGGAAUACAUCGGAAUCUACUUUUUCGUGGGGGUUAACGUAGGUAAACUUACGCUAAUACCGCAUACGACCUACGGGUGAAAGCAGGGGAUCUUCUGACCUUGCGCGGUUGGAUGAGCCGAUGUUGGAUUAGCUAGUUGGGGGGGUAAAUGCCCACCAAGGCGACGAUCCGUAGCUGGACUGAGAGGCUGAUAGCCCACCUUGGAAGGGAAACACGGACCAGAGGACUGCGAGAGGGAGCAGAGGCGAAUAUUAGACAACGGGGGGGAGCCUGGUCCAACGAUACCGCGUGGGAGAAGAAGGCCUUCGGGUUGUAAAGCCCUUUUGUUGGGAAAGAAAAGCAGCAGGUUAAUACCCCGCUGGUGUGACGGUAACCAAAGAAUAAGCACCGGCUAACUUCGUG
rnacentral:rRNA from 1 species